rnacentral:rRNA from 1 species
CGAAAGCCUGACGGAGCAAGACCGCGUGAGGGAGGAAGGCUCUUGGGUUGUAAACCUCUUUUCUCAGGGAAGAAGCUCUGACGGUACCUGAGGAAUCAGCCUCGGCUAACUCCGUGCCAGCAGCCGCGGUAAUACGGAGGAGGCAAGCGUUAUCCGGAAUUAUUGGGCGUAAAGCGUCCGCAGGUGGCGAUUCAAGUCUGCUGUCAAAGCACGGGGCUUAACUCCGUUAAGGCAGUGGAAACUGGUUAGCUGGAGUACGGUAGGGGUAGAGGGAAUUCCUGGUGUAGCGGUGAAAUGCGUAGAUAUCAGGAAGAACACCGGUGGCGAAAGCGCUCUACUGGGCCGUGACUGACACUGAGGGACGAAAGCUAGGGGAGCG